rnacentral:lncRNA from 1 species
CAACCAAAUUGCAGGAGUGUAAACUUUGAAGAGGACGUCACCGCUCAGUAAAUCGGGGCAGUGAAAUCUUUGCUUUGUGCUAAAGUCAACAGUGACAGAGUUUGAGCUCAAAUAAAUGCCGUGAUGUCUCCAGCCCUUUGCAGAAGGCUGAAGGCGAGGUUCCACAUUGGGCUCCUAGCUUGCCAGUAAGCAUCCACCGUAUUUCACAGGGCUCUGCUUGGGAGGGCUCCAUGGCUGUGCCGUCAGAGAGGUUCCUUCAGAGAGAAGAGGAAUAGGAAGGAGAGGAGGCCAUAACGAGAAGAGGAGAGGUUAGGACAGGAGAAGCAGAUGGAUCUGCCACCACACAUAAUGUCCCUUCUGUCGUGGGCUGUGCUGUGACCGCCCCAUGGCAGCGGCCAGAUGGAGGUGGAAUGGGACCAAUGGGAUCAAUGCGGUGCUGCCUACAAUCUUCUCCCUGCAUCACCUCAGAUCCACAGACACAGAACCACAAAGGCAGUUUCCUCUCUGAGUGCUUGUCUACCUGGCUACGUCUGCGUCUGACCUGUCUGGAUCUAUGAAAUAUCAAAGCUUGUGUCAGGACGCGUGAAUAGGGAGAGAGAGGCACCAUUAAUGAUUAACUGUUCUAAAAGCCUAUCAGGCAGCCAUGUGACAUGCUCGCAGCAUGUUUUGAGCAGAUUGGGGGAAGCUAGUGAGCAAACACAGGUGCUUUGGACUGGAGUCGCCGACGCUGUCAGGGACAACCACAAACAAGAGCAGCACUGCCUAGCUAAAUGAGAGCCCACCCACUUUACUUACUCCCUGACUAGCUUAGCUUAGUCACUGACUGCAGUGGCUGGAGAGCCUCACCAGAGACCAAGUCCAAUGUCCCCCCAGUGUUCCACAACCUUUCACACAAACAAACAAAUAAAACGCGAGGAUUGGAGUCGCUGUGGUCUCAAGCAUAGGGGAAAGCAAACAAAUGAAUUGUGUUCCAGUUCUCACUUUCUAAAACAAACCAAAUGUGGGUUGAACACUUGUUCUUGAGAAGCCUAGUGGAGGCGAUGAGAGAUAUUCAGAAAUAUGCAGGAUGACAAACUGAUUGUCAGGAAAUGAAGUGGUUGAUUUGAUUGUUUCAUUAAUGUUUCAUGACAGGUGGAUGACGAAUAGAUCAUAAAGACACAAAAGCCUAUUUUCUGUCAACAAAGUAGACUAUUUUGUUGUCCUGAUUUUAUUUCGAUUUUUCUGGAGUUGUUUUCAAGGUUUUAUAAACACGGUCUAGGUCCAGGCACUUAACCAUUUUCUCCUCAACAACGUCUGUCCCUUUGUAAAACGACUGAGAGCGUUCUGUAGCACAACUUUGAUAACACAAUCAGAUGAUAUGAUGGCGUUAACUGAACACGGCUUUCCGGCAGCGAGAUAAAUGAACAGCACGAUAACGUUAACAAAAGCCUAGCUCUGAUUGGUAGGUCUAUGAUUGGAAAACAGGCAGCACGGAAAGUCUACACAAUAAGGGCAAUUCAUUAGAUUUGUUAUUUUCUACAUGACCUGGGUCAGACGGACACCUUUUGUAUCAGUCAAAUAUUUAUUUGUGUGUUUUACAGGUCUUUCGUUUCAUACCCAGCAAUUACAGUGAGCCUGUAAAGCAGACAUGAUAAAAGUGUUUUAAAACAAACACUCCAAAUCAACAGGAGAGGAAAUUAAGUUGUAAAGGCAGAGCGAGACAGAGAGAGAGAAGCUGAGACAGAACAAGAGGGAGAAAAAGACAUAGAGAGAGAAGCUGAGAGAGAACGAGCGGGAGAGAGAGACAGAGAGAGAGAAGCAGAGAGAGAACAAGGGGGGAGGGGGUAGAAACAGGGAAUGGACUCAGGGGGUAUGCUAAUUUGGUAUAGAGCAGACCUAACUCACUCUAUUAAAUUAAUCAAAACAGGAACAUUUUACAUUUGUCUAGAACUUCAAAAGGAAAUUAUCUUCACAGAGAAAAAUGUCCUCCAGUGUGCUACCUAUAUCCCCCACUAGAAUCCCCAUACUUUAAUGAAGACAGCUUCUCCAACCUGUAGGGGGAAAUCAAUCAUUUCCAGGCCCAGGGACAUGUACUAGUCUGUGACGACCUAAAUGCCAGAACUGGACAAGAACCUGACACCCUCAGCACACAGGGGGACAAACACCUACCUGGAUGAGACAGCAUUCCCUCCUUUCCCUACCCGCUGGGUAUGUACAUAGUCAAUGGUAGGCUUCGAGGGGACUCCUAAGGUAGGAACACCUAUAGCUCAUCUCUUGGCAGUAGUACUGUAGACUACUUUAUCACUGACAUCAACCCAGUGUCACUCAGAGCGUUCACAGUCAGCCCACUGACACCCCUAUCAGAUCACAGCAAAAUCACAGUCUACUUGAACAGAGCACUACUCUAUCAUGAGGAAUCAGCCAAAGGAACUGAAUAAUAUUAAGAAAUGCUAUAGAUGGAAGGAAAGUAGUGUGGAAACCUACCAAAAAACUAUUAGGCAACAACAAAUUCAAUCCUUUUUAGACAACUUCCUGGACAAAACGUUUCAUUGUAAUAGUGAAGGUGUAAACUUGGCAGUAGAAAACCUAAACAGUAUAUUUUACCUCUUAGCUUCCCUAUCAAAUCUAAAAAUGUCAAACAGAAAACCCGAAGAAAAUUAACAACAAUGACAAAUGGUUUGAUGAAGAAUGCAAAAACUUAAGAAAGAAAUCAAGAAACCUAUCGAACCAAAAACAUAGAGACCCAGAAAACCUAAGCCUAUGCCUUCACUAUGGUGAAUCACAAAAAUAAUACAGAAAUACACUACGGAUAAAAGAAGGAACAGCACGUCAGAAAUCAGCUCAAUGUAAUCCAUAGACUCUAACCACUUCUGGGAAAAUUGGAAAACACUAAACAAACAGCACAGGAAAAAAAAAAAAAAAAAAUGUAUGAAAUUGUAUGAAAUGUAUGCAUUCACUACUGUAAGUCGCUCUGGAUAAGAGCGUCUGCUAAAUGACUAAAAUGUAAAAUGUAACAACAUGAAGAGUUAUCUAUUCAAAAUGGAGAUGUAUGGGUAAACCACUUCUCCAGUCUUUUUGGCUCUAUAACAAAGAACAAACAGCAAAAACAUAUACAUGAUCAAAUACAAAUCUUAGAAUCAACUAUUAAAGACUACCAGAACCCACUGGAUUCUCCAACUACAUUGAAUGAACUACAGGACAAAAUACAAACCCUCCAACCCCAAAAGGCCAGUGGUGUUGAUUGUAUCCUCAAUGAAAUGAUAAAAUAUGCAUACCACAAAUUCCAAUUGGCUAUACUUAAACUUUUUAACAUCAUCAUUAGCUCUGGCAUCUUCCCCAAUAUUUGGAACCACAAAAGUGGAGAUAAAUUUGACCCCAAUAACUAUCAUGGGAUAUGAAUCAACAGCAACCUUGGGAAAAUCCUAAGCAUUAUCCUUAACAUCAGACUCGUAUAUUUCCUCAGUGAAAACAAUGUACUGAGCAAAUGCCAAAUUGGCUUUUCACCAAAUUACCGUAUGAUAAAAAACACAUAUUCACACUGCACACCCUAAUUGACAAACAAACAAACCAAAACUAAGGCAAAGUCUUCUCAUGCUUUGUUGAUUUCAAAAAGGCUUUCGACUCCAUUUGGCAUGAGGGUCUGCUAUGCAAAUUGAUGAAAAGUGGUGUUGGGGGAAAAACAUACGACAAUAUAAAAUCCAUGUACACAAACAACAAGUGUGCGGUCAAAAAACUAAUUUCUUUCCACAGAGCUGUGGGGUGAGACAGGGAUGCAGCUUAAGCCCCACCCUCUUCAACAUAUAUAUCAACGAAUUGGCGAGGGCACUAGAACAGUGUGCAGCACCAGCCUCACCCUACUAGAAUCUGAAGUCAAAUGUCUACUGUUUUCUGAUAAUCUGGUGAUUCUGUCCCCAACCAAAGAGGGCCUACAACAGCACCUAGAUCUUCUGCACAGAUUCUGUCAGACCUGGGCCCUGAUAGUAAAUCUCAGUAAGACAAAAAUAAUGUUGUUCCAAAAACAAUCCAGUUGCCUGGACCACAAAGACAAAUUCCAUCUAGACACUGUUGCCCUAAAGCGGUGGUUCCCAAACUUUUUAUAGUCCCGUACCCCUUCAAACAUUGAACCUCCAGCUGCAUAACCCCUCUAGCACCAGGUUCAGAGCACUCUCAAAUGUUGUUUUUGACAUCAUUGUAAGCCUGCCACACACACACUAUACGAUACAUUUAUUAAACAUAAGAAUGAGUGUGAGUUUUUGUCACAACCUGGCUCGUGGGAAGUGACAAAGAGCACUUACAGGACCAGGGCACAAAUAAUAAUAUAAUAAUAAUCAAUAAUGAUGCUCUUUAUUUGACCAUCUUACAUAUAAAACCUUAUUUGUUCAUCAAAAAUGGUGAAUAACUCACCACAGGUUAAUGAGAAGAGUGUGCCUGAAAGGAUGCACAUAACUCUGCAAUGUUGGGUUGUAUUGGAGAGAGUCUCAGUCUUAAAUAAUUUUCCACACACAGUCUGUGCCUGUAUUUAGUUUUCAUGCUAGCGAGGGCCGAGAAUCCACUCUCACAUAGGUAUGUGGUUGCAAAAGGCAUCAGUGUCUUAACAGCAUGAUUUGUCAAGACAGGAUACUCUGAGCGCAGCCCAUUCCAGAACUCUGGCAAUGGCUUCUGAUUACAUUUUCACAGAACCGCUUGUUGCAAUUUCGAUGAAGCUCUCUUGUUCAGAUAUCGGUAAGUGGACUGGAGGCAGGGCAUGAAAGGGAUAACGAAUCCAGUUGUUUGUGUCAUCCGUUUCGGGAAAGUACCUGCGGAAUAGCGAAUCCAACUCCCUAAGGUGCUUUGCUAUAUCACAUUUGACAUUGACCGUAAGCUUGAGUUCAUUUGCUCACAAAAAAUAAUACAAUGAUGGAAAGACCUGUGUGUUGUCCUUGUUAAUGCAGACAGAGAAGAGCUCCAACUUUUUAAUCAUAGCCUCAAUUUUGUCCCGCACAUUGAAUAUAGUUGCAGAGAGUCCCUGAAAUCCUAGAUUCAGAUCAUUCAGGUGAGAAAAAACAUCACCCAGAUCGGCCAGUCGUGUGAGAAACUCGUCAUCAUGCAAACAGUCAGACAAGUGAAAAUGAUGGUCAGUAAAGAAAACUUUAAGCUCAUCUCUCAAUUCAAAAAAACGUGUCAAUACUUUGCCUCUUGAUAACCAGCACACUUCUGUAUGUUGUAUAAGCUUUACAUGGCCGCUGCCCAUAUCAUUGCAAAGUGCAGAAAAUAUACGAUAGUUCAGGGGCCUUGCUUUAACAAAGUUAACCAUUUUCACUGUAGUGUCCAAAAUGUAUUUCAAGCUGUCAGGCAUUCCCUUGGCAGCAAGAGCCUCUCAGUGGAUGCUGCAGUGUACCCAAGUGGCAUCGGGAGCAACUGCUUGCACGCGCGUUACCACUCCACUAUGUCUCCCUGUCAUGGCUUUUGCGCCAUCUGUACAGAUGCCAACAUGAGCAGCAGCUACGUUUGGCUACAUACGGACCGUUAGUGGCAUUCCCGCGAGACAGUAACGGUUAAUGUGAUUGGAUGUUAAUUAUUUGACUAGGCUACCUGUAUUUGACAUUGUGUUGUUAUUUCGCUGAACACUAGAUGGUUGAAUUGUAUUUUUGGCAGUGAAACGAGGCUACUCAGGCAAGAAAAAAACCUCACCCAAAUGUAUAGCCCCGUUGGAAAAUAUAAAUGGACUGUUUCAAAAUGUUAAGAAAUAAAUAUAUAAAAAAAUGUAAAAAGUGAAUCACAUUUUUAUUUGGCGUACCCCUGAUGGCAUUGCGCGUACCCCUGGGGAAUACCUGCUGUAGAGCACACAAAAAAACUAUACAUAUCUCGGCCUAAACAUACCCUCCCUGGCGCUCGAGGGCACCAGGCUACCCUUCUUUACACGCACCUGUCACUAUCAUUACGCGCAGCAGCGCUCAUUGGACUCACCUGGACUCCUUCACGUUGUUGAUUACCCCCUGUAUAUCUGUCUGUUCCUCUGUGGUGUUCCCUGUGUCCCCAUUAAUUGUUGUUAUGUGUUCCUGUCCAGACGCUGUUCCUGUUCCGUUUCAUGUCCGUCAGCUAUUAAACCUUCACUCCCUGUACCUGCUUCUCAUCUCCUGCGUCGUUCCUUACACGCCACAGGUAACUUCCACAAAGCUGUGAACGGUCUGAGAGACAAGGCAAGAAGGCCCUUCUAUGUCAUCAAAAGGAACAUAAAAUUCGACAUACCAAUUAGGAUCUGGCUAAAAAUACAUUAAUCAGUUAUUGAACCCAUUGCCCUUUAUGGUUGUGAGGUCUGGGAACCGCUCACCAAAUGGGACAAACACCAAAUUGAGACUCAGCAUGCAGAAUUCUGCAAAAAUAUCCUCGGUGCACAACAUAAAACACCAAAUAAUGCAUGCAGAGUAUAAUUAGGCCGAUACCUACUAAUUAUCAAAAUACAGAAAAGAGACGUUAAAUUCUACAACCACAUAAAAGGAAGCGAUUCCCAAACCUUCCAUAACAAAGUCAUCACCUACAGAGAGAUGAACCUGUAGAAGAGUCCCCUAAGCAAGCUGGUCAGCAACACAAUUAGACCCAACCAAAUCAUGAGAAAACAAAAAGAUAAUUACUUGACACAUUGGAAAGAAUCAAGAAAAAAACUGAGCAAACUAGAAUGUUAUUUGGCCCUGAACGGAGUACACAGUGGCAGAAUACCUGACCAAUGUGACUGACCCAAACUUAAGGAAAGCUUUGACUAUGUACAGACUCAGUGAGCAUAGCCUUGCUAUUGAGAAAGGCCGCCGUAGGCAGACCUGGCUCUCAAGAGAAGACAGGCUAUGUGCACACUCCCCAGAAAAUGAGGUGGAAACUGAGCUACACUUCCUAACCUCCUGCCAAAUGUAUGACCAUAUUAGAGACAGAUAUUUCCCUCAGAUUAUACAGACCCACAAAGAAUUUGAAAACAAACCCAAUUUCGAUAAACCCCCAUGUCUACUGGGUAAAAUACCACAGUGUGCCAUCACAGCAGCACAAUUUGUGACCUGUUGCCACAAGAAAAGGGCAACCAGUGAAGAACAAACACCAUUGUAAAUACAACUCAUAUUUAUGUUUAUUUAUCUUCCCUUUUGUACUUUAACUAUUUGCACAUAAUAUGACAUUUGAAAUGUCUUUAUUAUUUUGGAACUUUUGUGAGUGUAAUGUUUACUGUUACAUUCUAUUGUCUAUUUCUACUUCACUUGUUUAUUAUCUACUUCACUUGCUUUGGCAAUGUUAACAUAUGUUUCCAUGCCAAUAAAGCCCUUAA